UACGAAGGGUGCAAGCGUUACUCGGAAUUACUGGGCGUAAAGCGUGCGUAGGUGGUUUGUUAAGUCUGUUGUGAAAGCCCCGGGCUCAACCUGGGAAUGGCAAUGGAUACUGGCAAGCUAGAGUGCGGUAGAGGGUAGUGGAAUUCCCGGUGUAGCGGUGAAAUGCGUAGAGAUCGGGAGGAACACCCAUGGCGAAGGCAGCAAACUGGGCAUCAUCUGACGCUGAGGCGCGAAAGCGUGGGUAGCAAACAGG
rnacentral:rRNA from 1 species